rnacentral:rRNA from 1 species
AUUGAACGCUGGCGGCAGGCUUAACACAUGCAAGUCGAGCGAGCGGCGGACGGGUGAGUAAUGUCUGGGAAACUGCCUGAUGGAGGGGGAUAACUACUGGAAACGGUAGCUAAUACCGCAUACCAUCAGAUGUGCCCAGAUGGGAUUAGCUAGUAGGUGGGGUAAUGGCUAACCUGGGCGACGAGCCCUAGCUGGUCGAAGAGGAUGACCAGCCACGCUGGAACGUAGACACGGUCCAGACUCCUACGGGAGGCAGCGGUGGGGAAUAUUGCACAAGGGGCGCAAGCCUGAUGCAGCCAUGCCGCGUGUGUGAAGAAGGCCGUCGGGUGGUAAGGCAGUUUCAGCGAGGAGGCGUUACUCGCAGAAGAAGCACCGGCUAACUCCGUGCCAGCAGCCGCGGUAAUAC